rnacentral:rRNA from 3 species
UUUCCAGAGAUGGAUUGGUGCCUUCGGGAACUGUGAGACAGGUGCUGCAUGGCUGUCGUCAGCUCGUGUUGUGAAAUGUUGGGUUAAGUCCCGCAACGAGCGCAACCCUUAUCCUUUGUUGCCAGCGGUUAGGCCGGGAACUCAAAGGAGACUGCCAGUGAUAAACUGGAGGAAGGUGGGGAUGACGUCAAGUCAUCAUGGCCCUUACGACCAGGGCUACACACGUGCUACAAUGGCGCAUACAAAGAGAAGCGACCUCGCGAGAGCAAGCGGACCUCAUAAAGUGCGUCGUAGUCCGGAUUGGAGUCUGCAACUCGACUCCAUGAAGUCGGAAUCGCUAGUAAUCGUGGAUCAGAAUGCCACGGUGAAUACGUUCCCGGGCCUUGUACACACCGCCCGUCACACCAUGGGAGUGGGUUGCAAAAGAAGUAGGUAGCUUAACCUUCGGGAGGGCGCUUACCACUUUGUGAUUCAUGACUGGGGUGAAGUCGUAACAAGGUAACCGUAGGGGAACCUGCGGUUGGAUCACCUCCUUACCUGAAAGAA